rnacentral:rRNA from 1 species
GAUAAACGCUGGCGGCGUGCCUAACACAUGCAAGUCGAACGCCCUUACGCAAGUAAGGGAGUGGCGGACGGGUGAGGAACACGUGGGUGAUCUGCCUUGAGGUGAGGAAUACCGGCGAGAAAUCGCCGACAAUACCGCAUACGUUCGCAAGAACAAAGUCGCAAGACGCCUUGAGAUGAGCCUGCGUCCGAUUAGCUAGUUGGUGGGAAAG